rnacentral:rRNA from 1 species
UACAGAGGGUGCAAGCGUUAAUCGGAAUUACUGGGCGUAAAGCGUGCGUAGACGGUCAUGUAAGUCGGGUGUGAAAGCCCCGGGCUCAACCUGGGAAUUGCAUUCGAGACUGCAUGGCUAGGGUGCGGAAGAGGGAAGCGGAAUUUCCGGUGUAGCGGUGAAAUGCGUAGAUAUCGGAAGGAACACCAGUGGCGAAAGCGGCUUCCUGGUCCAGCACCGACGUCAGGCACGAAAGCGUGGGGAGCAAACAGGAUAGAA